rnacentral:lncRNA from 1 species
GGGAGAUGAAUAAAAUGCUCAUAAGCCUUUCUCUUGGUUGGUGGAAGUCUCACUGUGCACUUGCUUGAGAGAAAGUAGAGAAGACGAAGGGGAAUGAAAGGCCCAGCAAGGCAACUAAACUGCUGAAAGGAGGGGCUGAAGGAUUCCCGCGAGGGCCCUGUCUAAUCUACCAUGUGGCCUAGAAACUGCCCUGGCUGACUUAGAAAAUUGUGGAUGGUUUUGAAUUCGUCAACAAGCUGUGCAGCCUCUGCCUGCAGCACAUUGAA